AUUGAACGCUGGCGGCAUGCUUUACACAUGCAAGUCGGACGAGUGGCGAACGGGUGAGUAACAUAUCGGAACGUACCGAGCAGUGGGGGAUAACUAAUCGAAAGAUUAGCUAAUACCGCAUACUGUUUGAGCGGCCGAUAUCUGAUUAGCUAGUUGGUGGGGUAAAGGCCUACCAAGGCGACGAUCAGUAGCGGGUCUGAGAGGAUGAUCCGCCACACUGGGACUGAGACACGGCCCAGACUCCUACGGGAGGCAGCAGUGGGGAAUUUUGGACAAUGGGCGCAAGCCUGAUCCAGCCAUGCCGCGUGUCUGAAGAAGGCCUUCGGGUUGUAAAGGACUUUUGUCAGGGAAGCGGUACCUGAAGAAUAAGCACCGGCUAACUACGUGCCAGCAGCCGCGGUAAUUC
rnacentral:rRNA from 1 species